UGAGGAGCAACUGCCACUACUGCUGGUGCUGGGGCAGAUGGUAGAAAGGACAUCACUGUCCUGCUGGCACCCAGGACUAAGAUGGCAGGUUCCGGUGACAUCAGGACUGAUAUUUCUCCAGCGCCUCAUUUCCCAGGCAGAGAAAGAGCAUUCAGGUGCCUCCAUGCCCCAGCACUCCACAGGCAGAGCAGGUCACCUGGAGGUCCCCCCUGCAGUGGGAAGCCAGUCUACCCAUCGGAGGCCGCCUCCUCAUGCCAUACGGGACCUAUGUGGAAGAGAAGAGCCAAUAAAGCCCAAACACAGAGUUAACUGUUUAGGAUGUUCUUUUGUUAGUGAAAUCCCCCAGGGAGAUCUGCACAGACCUGAUUUUACAAGGUUCAGAUGGAAACCAGGAGGCCCUACUGAGCUGCCACUAACAGGUGCUUCACCAGAUCCGUUGCCAUCCUGGCCCUUCUCCUGCUCUGCUCCAGGGACAUCUGUGCUCCCCGACAACUGUGCUCCACAGACAUCUGUGCUAUCCAGACUUCUCUGCUCCCCAGACUUCUAUGCUCCCUCGAUAACUGUGCUCCUUGGACUUAUGUGCUCCAGACCUGUGCAUCUCAUGCUGCUCCUGGUCCCUCUGACUGGGCCCAGGCCCUGACCCUCUCCAGAGCCUCUCCCUCCCCUGGUGUGCUCCUGGUCAACAUGGUCACUGGGUGGCUGCACCUGGGGGGGACUUCUGCAGAGUGUGGCCAUAGAUAUUCUUAGUCUCUGGCUGCGUGAACUCGUUGUUGUGGUGAUUUUAGCAGAAUGGUGGGCAGAAGCAGCAAAAUUUUAAUGUUCUGUUUAUUAUUUUCCUAGCUCUAGCCUUACUGCCUUGGGUGGAAUUAAGGUUAGAGUCUGAAGUGUAACCAUUUUCUUCAUGGCAGAGUUUCUUCAGGGACCAUCGCAUUACUACGGAACUGCAGGUGCCAGCUAGGUCUUAGGGGAUGUCUUAAUGUGGUGCUGGAGGGCUUGGGGGCUGGACUCAAGGUUUUGGUCCUGUAUUCCUGGAUGUCCUCAAGCAGAGGUCCUGGCCUGGAAGUGGUGCUGUACUACUGGGUGUCCUCAAGCUGGGGCCUGGCAUGUAGGUACCCGGGGGUCCUCCAGCUGUGGACUCUCACAGAUAUAGUCUUGCGCCCCGGGGUGACCUGGAGGCUGAACAAUGUUGAUGCAGCAUCCUUCUCCAUCUGUUUGAACUCCUGUGUCCAAAGGAAACAUAGCAUUUUUUGGCAGUUGAUUAUUCCCCGAAAACUCAGGCUGCGGGAGGCAUUCCUUGGAGGCCUGUUCACAGUGGGGCACAGUGUGAGGGACGGGCUUGCAGAAGAAGGCAUGGGGGUCCCAUGCCAUCAUUUUGUUUAACAGGUCCUGACACUGCACAUAGGUAGCUGGGCACAUACAAGUAUCGGCUCAGGAUGCACUCCCUGAGCUCCCAGUGGUUGGUCCCCACAAAGGGCAGUGCCCCGGUCACCAUCUUGUACAGGAUGAUGCUCAGGUUCCACAUGUCUGCUGUGGGGCCAGUAAUGUUGUUGAACGUAGAGUUCAGAGUACUUGUAUUCUGGCUGCCACAAUCUGCACCCAGUGCCUGGUUGGAGCACUGGACGCUGAGCCCGAAUUCCACCAGCUUGAUGUUUUUCUGAUGGUCAUCAGGAUGUUCUCGGGCUUCAGAUCCCAGUGCGCCUUUGGUGUGGCAGUAGGUGAUGGCCCAGAGCUUCUGCUCGAAUUUCUUGCAGGCCUUGCUCUCCAUGAGGUCCCUGCGCUCCUGCAGGUGGCGCUGCAGGCUGCCCCUUCCCUGUACUCCAUCACCAGCAGCAGCUAGUCUCUGGUGUCCAUGACCUGGAACACCUGAACGAUGUGUUGGUGAUGAAGCACCUUCAUGCACCCCACCUUGCGGGACAGGGACUCGCGACAGGGCUGCUUGGACUUUUGGAUGCUCUUGAUGGCCACCUCUGUGCCCAUGAGUAUGUGUAGCAUGAGCUUCACCUGGUCAUAGUCACCCUCCCCCAGCAUCCAGAGCACCAGGUAGUAUUUAAUUUUAGGUCACUCAGAGUGUGGCACCUAAGCAUAGUGAGUGUGGACUGGGCUGCCUAUACUCACCAGCCCUAACUGUGCUAAAAGCACUGAGCUAACUCUGCUGAAAGCACUAGUUCUGCUACGAUAUUAACAAAAAUGUACUAUUAAUGUAGUUUUAACGGUACUGGAAAAGUACUCACUAAGUUAAACAAGUUUCAGAAGAUUUCUUGGGGCAUGAAAUAGAAAACUCUUAUUACUUAUAAGAAUAUAGAUAUCUGAUACUGAUUUAAGAAGAAUUAAAAGGUAACUGAAAAUUACCUUAAUUAUCCGGCUGCUUGAUAGAAAACUAUCAAGGACUCUAGGUACAGAGUAUAGUGGACCUCACCCUGCAUCCCCAACUUAACUGUAGCUUUGUUUUCUGAAUUAUCAGAUAACUGCAUCAACUGACAUCUACAAAUAAAAUAUUUUGAG